AAAUGGAAAAGCCGGUGCAAGCGAGGUAGGAGUACAGUAGGCAAAUCCGCUGUACAAUCCGAUGACGUGAUGCGGACCGAAUUAAGAGUAGGGAAGUGUGUGAGCCAUGCGUCAAGAAAAGCCGCUAUUGUUUUACUUAAGCCCGUACCGUAAACCGACACAGGUGGAUGAGGAGAGAAUCCUAAGGCCGACGGGAGAAGCAUUGUUAAGGAACUCGGCAAAAUGACUCCGUAACUUCGGGAGAAGGAGUGCCAGCGAGAGCUGGCCGCAGAGAAUUGGCCCAAGCAACUGUUUAGCAAAAACACAGGUCUAUGCAAAACCGUAAGGUGAAGUAUAUGGGCUGACGCCUGCCCGGUGCUGGAAGGUUAAGAGGAGAGGUUAGCGGCAACGCGAAGCUUUGAAUUUAAGCCCCAGUAAACGGCGGCCGUAACAAUAACGGUCCUAAGGUAGCGAAAUUCCUUGUCGGGUAAGUUCCGACCCGCACGAAAGGCGUAAUGAUUUGGACACUGUCUCAACAAUGCACCCGGUGAAAUUGAAAUACCAGUGAAGAUGCUGGUUACCUGCGCCAGGACGGAAAGACCCCAUGGAGCUUUACUCCAGCUUGAUACUGGGAUUCGGUAUUGCAUGUACAGGAUAGGUGGGAGGCUAGGAAGUGAUAACGCCAGUUGUCACGGAGCCGCUGUUGGGAUACCACCCUUGCAGUAUUGGAUUUCUAACCAGCGACCAUGAACUGGUCGGGGGACAAUGUCAGGUGGGGAGUUUGACUGGGGCGGUCGCCUCCGAAAGGGUAUCGGAGGCGCUCAAAGGUUCCCUCAGAAUGGACGGAAACCAUUCGAAGAGUGCAAAGGCAGAAGGGAGCUUGACUGCGACACCGACGGGUGGAGCAGGUACGAAAGUAGGACUUAGUGAUCCGGUGGUAUAAAGUGGGAUUGCCAUCGCUCAACGGAUAAAAGCUACCCUGGGAUAACAGGCUUAUCACUCCCAAGAGUUCACAUCGACGGAGUGGUUUGGCACCUCGAUGUCGGCUCAUCGCAUCCUGGGGCUGAAGUAGGUCCCAAGGGUUGGGCUGUUCGCCCAUUAAAGCGGUACGCGAGCUGGGUUCAGAACGUCGUGAGACAGUUCGGUCCCUAUCCGGCGUGGGCGUAGGAUAUUUGAGAGGAGCUGUCCUUAGUACGAGAGGACCGGGAUGGACUGGCCGCUGGUGUAUCUGUUGCAUACCAAAUGCAUGGCAGAGUAGCCAAGCCGGGACGGGAUAAACGCUGAAGGCAUCUAAGCGUGAAGCCCCCCUCAAGAUGAGAUAUCCCUACGUAAGUAGUAAGACCCCUUGAAGACGACGAGGUAGAUAGGUCAGAGGUGGAAGUACAGUAAUGUAUGGAGCUGACUGAUACUAAUCGGUCGAGGGCAUGAC
rnacentral:rRNA from 1 species